AGAGUUUGAUCCUGGCUCAGGAUGAACGCUAGCGGCAGGCCUAACACAUGCAAGUCGAGGGGUAACAUUGGUGCUUGCACCAGAUGACGACCGGCGCACGGGUGCGUAACGCGUAUACAAUCUACCUUUUGCUGAGGGAUAGCCCAGAGAAAUUUGGAUUAACACCUCAUAGUAUGCAGACUUCUCAUGGAGAUUGCAUUAAAGGUUACGGCAAAAGAUGAGUAUGCGUCCUAUUAGUUUGUUGGUGUGGUAACGGCACACCAAGACUACGAUAGGUAGGGGCCCUGAGAGGGGGACCCCCCACACUGGUACUGAGACACGGACCAGACUCCUACGGGAGGCAGCAGUGAGGAAUAUUGGACAAUGGAGGCAACUCUGAUCCAGCCAUGCCGCGUGCAGGAAGACUGCCCUAUGGGUUGUAAACUGCUUUUAUACAGGAAGAAACACUCCCUCGUGAGGGAGCUUGACGGUACUGUAAGAAUAAGGAUCGGCUAACUCCGUGCCAGCAGCCGCGGUAAUACGGAGGAUCCAAGCGUUAUCCGGAAUCAUUGGGUUUAAAGGGUCCGUAGGUGGAUAAUUAAGUCAGAGGUGAAAGUUUGCAGCUCAACUGUAAAAUUGCCUUUGAUACUGGUUAUCUUGAGUUAUUGUGAAGUAGUUAGAAUAUGUAGUGUAGCGGUGAAAUGCAUAGAUAUUACAUAGAAUACCAAUUGCGAAGGCAGAUUACUAACAAUAUACUGACACUGAUGGACGAAAGCGUGGGUAGCGAACAGGAUUAGAUACCCUGGUAGUCCACGCCGUAAACGAUGUCAACUAGCCGUUGGGAGACUUGAUUUCUUAGUGGCGCAGCUAACGCAAUAAGUUGACCGCCUGGGGAGUACGGCCGCAAGGUUAAAACUCAAAUGAAUUGACGGGGGCCCGCACAAGCGGUGGAGCAUGUGGUUUAAUUCGAUGCAACGCGAAGAACCUUACCAGGUCUUGACAUCCCUGAAACUUUCUAGAGAUAGAUUGGUGCCUUCGGGAAUCAGGUGACAGGUGCUGCAUGGCUGUCGUCAGCUCGUGUCGUGAGAUGUUGGGUUAAGUCCCGUAACGAGCGCAACCCUUGUCCUUAGUUGCCAGCACAUUAUGGUGGGAACUCUAAGGAGACUGCCGGUGACAAACCGGAGGAAGGUGGGGACGACGUCAAGUCAUCAUGGCCCUUACGACCUGGGCUACACACGUGCUACAAUGGAACGCACAGAGGGCUGCAAAGGCGCGAGCUGGAGCGAAUCCCACAAAACGUUUCGUAGUCCGGAUUGGAGUCUGCAACUCGACUCCAUGAAGUCGGAAUCGCUAGUAAUCGUGAAUCAGAAUGCCGCGGUGAAUACGUUCCCGGGCCUUGUACACACCGCCCGUCACACCAUGGGAGUGGGUUGCAAAAGAAGUGGGUAGACUAACCUUCGGGAGGUCGCUCACCACUUUGUGAUUCAUGACUGGGGUGAAGUCGUAACAAGGUAACC
rnacentral:rRNA from 1 species